rnacentral:lncRNA from 1 species
GAUGCCUGCGGGGCCCUCACGCCCUCACGGCCCAUGCCCGCUCAAAGCAGGCGACUGCGGGAGCGCCCGGCGCUCUGGUGGGACCCGCCGGCGAGCACCGGGCCCGCGCCUCCUUGGACCUGGGGUCCGCCUCUCCCCCCAACAUCUGCAGCCGCAGCCGGGCACUUGGGAAAGUUGCUAAGGCCGAGGAGGCAGGAGGAGAGAAAGCGAGGAGAGGCGCGGAGGCGUGGACCCGGCGGGCAGCAGCCUCAGCCCGCUGGGGAGGUGAGCUGAGGACAGAGGAGCCGCCGCCGCCCGCAGCGCGGCUCGGCUGCUGGGGAGGAGGGUGCGGGGGCGGAGGUGGCGGGGGACAGAAGGUGUCAGCUCCUGCAGCUAUUCCUUUUUCUUGCAAACGCGCGCUCCUGACAUCCAUAACCCCUCCCUCCCCACCUGCCAAGCACCGCGGCGUCCAGCUCUGGGAACAUCCUUCCUGCUGACCCUAGAAUGAGGGGCUAAGCGGCCACCUAGGACCCCGAGGUCUCACCCAGAGCUGCAGUCCCCACCAGCCUCUGGAGUCAGCUCCUGCGCGCGGGCGAUAGUCGGAGCAGCCCUAGUGGAGGCGGCGGUUCCCGCCCUGGUAAAGGGCCCCGCGGCGCAUGCUAGCCCCGGGAAAAGCCCGCGCCGCCUCCGCGCCCCGCUAUGCCCCGGCCACCUCGCUGCUCUGGCCGCCUCGCCGCUCCCACCCCGCAGCGGCCGCCGCGAGUCCACUAGGUGACCCGGGCGCUGCCCUGGAGCCGGGGGGCGCGCCGGAGGCCGCGUGGGUUCGGGUUUGCGCCGGCAGGAGCCCGGAACCUGGCUCUCGCCCUCCGCCCGCCCCGGCCUCCACCCCCGCCACCCGCGCCCAGCCGGGUCUUACCGCGGGGUCAGCGGGGAGGCGGCGGCGGCCGCAGCGCUUGGGCUGCCGCUGGUCCGCUCUAGGCUCGGCGCCAGCCGGACCACCGGUGCACACUCGUGCCGGUCCCGGCCAAGCGGCCCGGUCGGCGGUGGCCGCUGGUGCGCGGCAGGCGAGGGUCCCGGCAGGUCCCGCCGCCGCGACUGGGGUGCUGUGCCGCCGUCGCUGCAGACGGUUAUGGUAAUGAGCGGCUCUGUCUAGCGAGGAGCGUGUGAAACCCGUCAAUCCUGUUUGCCAUUUCCCCGUGGAUUUCCGAGGAGAGGUUCUGCAGGAUGCCCCCAGGGUGAGAGAGGGAACAUGACAAGCGCGCCCGCUCUCCCUCCCUCUCUCUGCUCCCGCCGCCGCAGCCACCGCUCCUCAGGCAGCACACGGGGCGCCUUCCCCUCACCCCCACCCCAGCCCGCCCCCUGCCUCCUUCCCGCCCUCCCUCCUCCCUCUCCUCCCCUCCCCUCCCGGUGCCCGGGGACACGCGGGCCCAGCUCCAGCCCGCAACCCAGACCCCACGCGCAUUCGGCUCCCGCCCUAACCCUAGGGGCUCGGCUCCAACCGAAUAAUGUAUUCAUUCUGCAACCUUCUGAGAUGUCUUGUCUUUUUUUAUUUGGUUUAGUUUUGUUGUGUGUGCAUAUGAUUUAAAAAAAAAAAAAAACUGUGCCUUUCCCACCCUUUGCAAAAGACUUUCUUCUCCUUUGCCACAGCAAACGGAGAUGAGAAACAGAUGUCUGUGCAGGACCAAGCAGUUAUUCUCCUCUCCGCCGCCGCCCGCCCCCGCCCGUUCCCCUCCUGAGCUGCAUAUGUAUAAAAAAGCAACCUAGGUCCUGCUGCAACUUGAAUUGGCAACUCUUUCUGGGUGGGGAUUCUCUGGUGAAAACCUCCAGGGGAAAAAAAAGUAAUAAAGGAAGCUAUCCUUGGUCAAAAGAAUGUAAUUUAAGCUCCAGAAUCACACUAUUUUGCAAAUAGUGGUUUUCCCCUAUAUUGGACUCAAUUGGAGUUUGUAUUUUUGAAACAUUAAUUCAUAACUUGUGUCUAGGGACCCCUCCAUAGUUGAGAAGGGUCAUUUCAGGUGUAAUGAACACAGGGGCUUGGAAUGCAUACACCUAAUAAAAUCGGGGGUGGAAGAGGCACCUGCACAAAAGUGUUACAAGGACUAUCGUGUUUGUUUACUGCUACUAUGCCAGAUGUGCUAAAUAUAACACUUCUUUAAAACAGUGAUCCGCCAACUGAAAAACCAGACCUCUGGCUGCCUGACUCCCUAGGAAUCAGGGAGAUGCACAGACUGAAAAUCGGGGAGGAAAGGAACAAGAUCAAGGAUGAGGAUUAGCAUCUGCAAAUUGAACUCUAUCUAAUUUGCAUGUUUAUUUCUUAGAAUUGUAAUUAAAUUUGUGUAAUAAAUGUUUUCCAUUUCAUUUGUAUACUUAAAAUUUGGGUGACUGACAUGCAGUUAAGUGAAUUUCCUUUUUCCUUUUUAAAGAAAAUGUGGUUUAUUCAAUAAAGCAGCAAACAAAUAUUAAGCAUAAUUAGAACUAAUCUGUUUUGAAGGUGUUUUUGUUGAACUUUGUACAUUAAAGACACUCAGAGGUUUC